UUUGAUGUUGUAUUUCAAAAUGUUGAGUUUGAAGGAUUGUUGCUUGCGCAAUGUGUGUAGUUCGUUAGGUUUUUUGUAGAAAUGUACAAUUGGGUCGUUGUUAAAAUAAAGUACGACUGGGCCAUAAGUUGAGUAGGCCAGGUUUGUUAAUAGUGUUAAAAAUGUAAAUGAUAAGUUUAAUAAUUAUUUGAUUUGAUGUUGUAUUAGAAAGUGAGAAGUCUGAAGGGUUGUUGCUUUACCAGUGAGAAGACGCUAGUUUAUUUGGUUGUUUUUUCUGUAGAUAUGUAUGAUUGGGCCGUUGUUAAAAAGAUGUACAAUUAGCCAUAGCCUAAGCAGGCCAGGUUUGUUAAGUGUUAAGAGCGUGAUGUGGAUAUUUAGUUUUAUGAAAAUAUGUAGGUUUUCAUCUGUGGUGGGUUAUUUAACUAGAAUUGUAAUAUUUAAGCUAUGGUGCGUGUUCUUUAAAAUAUUGUUAAGGUUUUUAAUAGGAUUAGCAAAGAUUGGAAAUUUUAAUGUAUAUUUGUGGGUGAAAAUAAGACGAUUGGUCGGCUGUGUCAAACUGUUAUUAUGGUGUCUGAGUACGCAAGGGAUAUUCUAAAAAAAGUGGGGUAGCUGAAAUAAUGAUUAGAUCAUGUAUGAAAGCAUUAAAAGUUGAUAUCAUGUUAGAAAGCAGAAAUCUUGGAUAAAAUGGUAGAGAAUCAAAACUUUACUAAAAAGAGGAUACUAAGCCCUCUAAAAGUGUACACGUCAGAAUGAAAAAUUAACCAAUCAUAGAUUAUUAUAUGGCCACGUAAGUACAGUUGAGAAAAAGUGGGCUUUUCGCAUUGAAUCUAUUAAAAUGAUUUGUCAACCCAUUUAGACAAAACUGCUUCUUCCGUCUUCAAGCUUCGCGACUUUCUCCCGACUUUUCCACUUCAUCAUUUUCUCCAACUUCUAUUUUUCUCGUUACUUUCUCAAUCAAUGACGAUGUUAAAAGGAUUUUUAAAAAAAAUUUCUCUACCUCUCCUUGAUAAUCCUCCUGUAUAAAGUUCUAUCUCUAAACCUAAAUCCAUCCUAAAUAAAAAAAAAACUAUUCGGCAGAAACGACAUCAAUGGCUAUUAAAUCCACCACGAAGUCUCGGAUAACCACCGGAAAAUCUCCCGUCACCAUGUAUUUCAACGACAUCUCACCAGGACGAUCAACUUUUGGGAGACACAAAACAUAGCCAAAGCUGGAGCCUCUAUUGGAUUAGAGCUACGGCCAUGGAAUCCAACGGAAAGCUCCACCGGAAAGUCACAAGCUGUGAAUCCCUUGGAACAGAAUCUACUACGAAAUCAAGGCUACAGAUCCCCAAGAUACCUUUAUUUUGAUCCAAAUCGAUCUGACGACUUCUGUUAGUGAAAUAAUUUCACAUAUACAAAUAUCAUGUGAAAGAUACCUUCUGGAGAAGGAAAUCACAUUGACGGUAUGGUGCCAGGUGCCAACACAUCACUCCCAUAACUUAU